rnacentral:rRNA from 1 species
AUUGAACGCUGGCGGCAGGCUUAACACAUGCAAGUCGAGUGGGGGAGGUUGCUUCGGUAACUGACCUAGCGGCGGACGGGUGAGUAAUGCUUAGGAAUCUGCCUAUUAGUGGGGGACAACAUUCCGAAAGGAAUGCUAAUACCGCAUACGCCCUACGGGGGAAAGCAGGGGAUCUUCGGACCUUGCGCUAAUAGAUGAGCCUAAGUCGGAUUAGCUAGUUGGUGGGGUAAAGGCCUACCAAGGCGACGAUCUGUAGCGGGUCUGAGAGGAUGAUCCGCCACACUGGGACUGAGACACGGCCCAGACUCCGACGGGAGGUAGCAGUGGGGAAUAUUGGACAAUGGGCGGAAGCCUGAUCCAGCCAUGCCGCGUGUGUGAAGAAGGCCUUUUGGUUGUAAAGCACUUUAAGCGAGGAGAAGGCUCUUAAGGUUAAUACCCUUGAUGAGUGGACGUUACUCGCAGAAUAAGCACCGGCUAACUCUGUGCCAGCCGCCGCAGUAACAC